rnacentral:lncRNA from 1 species
UUUCCCCCGCUUUUCCGCAGCCGGAUGUCGGCGGGGGCCUAGGGAGGAAUGAGAAAGCCGUGUCCGGAAACCGCAAAAUCCCGUUUUUUUUCCCCCAGCGGGUGGGAAACGGGGUUUGUUUUUUUUCCACCCGGCCCCCGAAACGCCCCCGCCGGAAAAGCGAGCUCCGCGCAGCUCCGGGGCUGCUCCGAAGYGCCGGCGCGGCGGGAAGCGGAUGUCGGCCGGGACGGAGGGCGCCGAGGCGGCCGGGGAGCCGGAGCCGCGCGCRAAGCCGCGGCGCCUCCCGCCGAACCGCGUCGCAUCCUUCCGAGCCGCGUCGCAUCCUUCCGAAACCAGGAGGCGGCUUCGCGGAGCCGCGCCGCUUCCUCGCGGAGCCGGAGCUGCGUCCGUGCAGAUCCGCGCUGCAGCCGUGCAAAUCCGCGCUGCAGCCGUGCAAAUCCACGUUGCAUCCUUGCAAAUCCGAGCUGCACCCUCGCAAAUCUGCAUUGCAUCCUUGCAAAUCCAUGCCGCAUCCUUGCAAAUCCAUGCUGCAUCCUUGCAAAUCUACUUGUGUCCUUGCAGAUCCGUGUUGCAGCCUCGCAAAUCCUCGCUCCAUCCUUGCAAAAACCUCACUCCGUCCCUGCAAAUCCAUGCCCUAUCCUUGCAAAUCUGYGUUGCAUCCUGGCAAAUCCUCAUUCCAUCCUUGCGGAUCCACUUGCGUCCCUGCAAAUCCAUGCUCUAUCCUUGCAAAUCACACUGCAUCCUGGCAGAUCCGCACUGCAUCCUUGCAAAUCUGCACUGCAUCCUUGCAAAUCCACUUGUGUCCUUGCAAAACCAUACUGAACACUUGCAAAUCCAAGCUUCAUCCUUGCAAAUUUGUGUUGCAUCCUUGCAAAUCUUCACUCCGUCCUUGCAAAUCCAAGCUUCAUCCUUGCAAAUGCACUUGCAUUCUUGCAAAUCCAUGCUCUAUCCUUGCAAAUCACACUGCAGCCUUGCAGAUCCACGCUGCAUCCUUGCAAAUCCUCACUGCAUCCUUGCAAAUCCUCACUGCAUUCUUGCAAAUCCUCAUUGCACCCUUGCAAAUCCAUGUUGCACCCUUGCAAAUCCAUGUUGCACCCUUGCAAAUCCAAGCUUCAUCCUUGCAAAUCCGUCGCACCCUUGCAAAUCCACUUGCAUCUUUGCAAAUCCACUUGCAUCCUUGCAAAUCCAUGUUGCAUCCUUGCAAAUCCAUGUUGCAUCCUUGCAAAUCUGCAUUGCAUCCUUGCAAAUCCACUUGCAUCCUUGCAAAUUCACACUUCAUCCUUGCAAAUCCACGCUGCAUCCUUACAAAUCCACUUGCAUCCUUGCAAAUCUGCAUCGCAUCCUUGCAAAUUCACACUUCAUCCUUGAAAAUCCACCUUGCAUCCUUGCAAAUCCAUGCUGCAUGCUUGCAAAUCCACAUUACAUCCUUGCAAAACCUCAUUGCAUCCUUGCAAAUCUGCAUCGCAUCC